UACGGAGGGUGCAAGCGUUAUCCGGAUUCACUGGGUUUAAAGGGUGCGUAGGUGGGCAGUUAAGUCAGUGGUGAAAUCUCCGGGCUCAACCCGGGAACUGCCAUUGAUACUAUCGGUCUUGAAUAUCGUGGAGGUAAGCGGAAUAUGUCAUGUAGCGGUGAAAUGCUUAGAUAUGACAUAGAACACCAAUUGCGAAGGCAGCUUACUACCCGAAUAUUGACACUGAGGCACGAAAGCGUGGGGAUCAAACAGG
rnacentral:rRNA from 1 species